rnacentral:lncRNA from 1 species
CCCACCGAUGACGUAAGAGUAGGCGGAGCUUCCUCCGUCAGUCAUGCUUACGGGGGCGGGCUUCCUCCGCUGGGCCUGGAGUUAGCGGGAAUCGAAGUUCGGUAAGUCGUGUGAGGAUUGAAGAGGGUAAGCAGUUCCGCAUGUUUGUCCAUUUUUACAGAUUAUACAAAUCGAUGGCGGCAUGAAAGGUCGUGCUGGAAGGCCCGAACCGCCGGAUGACCGCACGGACCGAAGAGUCGCCCACGGAGUCGAAUUUAAAUAACGUCAUUGAGAGCGGAAAACGGACGUCGGACCACGGAUCCCGUUUAUUGUGUCCCACUCACAGUCAAGAGACGGAGUGCAUGACGUCAUCGUGUGAGGGUCUCGGCUCUGCACGACCCCACGUGCUGCUGCUCUUCUGAAGUCCCUGCGAUGGGGCCACGUGUCACGUGGCUGGAAAAUGUCCACUUUUCCCCCUGUUAACGGGCAGCCUUGCGGAGGACGUGACGGCCACACGGGAGAAUUUAUCGAGGAACCGUCCAAGCAUCAUGCCUCCUCGUCAUCACCCAAUCCUGGAGACCCUGAGGUGCACCUGCAGAACAUCAACGGUGUCUCUCCGUUGCCAGGUAUUCUUCAGUUUUCUGCUCGGUGGGACAUUGUUGAAAAUGGUGUAGAAUGUGAUGACGGGUGGAAAACGAAGCAGGAGGAGAACAAUAAUGUGCCGGGCAAAUGCCCGCGGUCAUGCCCGAGAGUGGACCGUGGCUGUUGUCCUUCACGUGUGCUUUGCGACGUGCGUGUCACUGACUUGACCAAUGGGGUGGAGGAAUCGAGAGCGCACCGUUCCCACGAUGCACAGAGCGCUGGUGAGGGCUGCACCGCUGAAUACGCCGGUUCGGUCGACCGCAAUUUGUCUGUUGACCACUCGCAUCUGGAGACGGACGGCUCGUCUGUAUCGGAGCGUUCGAGGACCUCUCACGGAGGACCGGCACCCAUGAGUCGUCAAAGGAAUGACGGUUGUCAGCCGUUGCCACUUGCAAACCCCCAGCAAAGCCGCUGCUGCUCUAACCUCUCACCGAUCUCGUUCGGACAAACGACUGCGUCGGCUGUUGAGUUGGAGGAGGACGACUCUGAGUUAGCCAAGCUGCAUCCAAAUGUCGCAACAAGACCCCCUUUGUGUUUCAUCAAUAAUGCAUUGGAUGUGUUGGGCAAAAGCCGGAGGCGGUCGUUCGAUGACAAGGAGCUGGAGAAACAAUUGUCUGAAUGUGAGAGGCACAUCCAGGGUGAGUUCUUCUUUCAACAAUUGCUGCAGCGUAACCCCCCCCCCCAAAAAAAAAAAAUGUGGAUAAUAUCUAUGGAUGGUGAAUCAUUGAAUAAACAUUGUUGUCCUGAUCUGUGUGACCUGCUAUCAGUAAGUGUUUACAACUUAGUACAAUGGAAGCUUUUCACAACAUUUAUUUUGGGGAAAGUUCCUUUGAGUUAUCAGUGCUGCUGUAGCUCCAGCUGUGGCUGCGUGUCACAAAGGGUACAAAUUGUCGUCCUUAUUUCGAUGCGAUGAACACUUAAAUUGUAUUGUGUUGCAUUAUGUAAAAUAUGAUUAGUUUUGUUGUCGAUGCUGGAUAUUUUGAGUGUUUUUCAGUGGGUAUGUAAAAUUUGUUUGUGACAAAGCCAUGGCAGCUGCUGUUGAAAUGGACAGAUGUCUGUCACUGAGCUCGUGUCGAUGUAUCGAUUUGAUCUCCUCUUACACGCGAUGCCUGCUAAUGCAGUUCGGACACUUUCACGAGGUCACUGUAGAAAUCAUCUCAGCACCUGUGUCCCAUUUGGAAGAGUUUUCUUUCUCCGUUGGCGAGUGUGGGUUCGACUCCCAUGGCCGCUCGAUCGAGCCAAACCACACUUUGGCAAGUGUGACGAGUAUUCCAAACAACGCUCAACAUGAGUGGUUGGAGGUCUUUGUCAUGCAGUGGACUGGAACAGGCUGGUUUGCUGGAAUACAAGACUUUGGUUAUCAUGGUGAGAUGAGACAUAGCAUCCUCUUUGCAGCAUCAGUGCUGUCGAAGCAGGUUUUUUGCCAAGCGUUGGGCUGGGUGGUUUGCCAUUGCCUUCUCGGCAGGUGUCCAGCAAUGACGAGUGCCGGUAUAUGGGUUCGUCGGCUUAACGUCCUCCUAAUGGAUGAUGCACAUGCCGGUCCAUCGUCCUGCAUGCGAAACACCAGGGUGAGUUUUUUUUUUAUCGCUGGAUUGAGAUUCAUACCCAGGCGAGACGACUCAGAUGGGGAGUGUGCAUACCUCGAAGCCAUCCUGCCAACCUGUUGGUUUUCAUACCAUCCCAAACAAGAAAGAGCAGAGAUUGCAGAUCUUGGCAAGGAUUUGUUUGGUUUGCUGCUCUAUUACAUCAUUAACAAUAGACAUAAUUAAUACAUAAUUAGUAGAUGUACUCACAUUCCGAUAAUACGUAAUUGGUAGAUGUACUCGCAUUCCAAUGGUACAUAAUUAAUCGACGUACUCACAUUCCAAUGGUACAUAAUUAAUAGAUGUACUCACAUUCCAAUGGUACAUAAUUAAUCGACCAACAUAUAUUCUGUGCAGACAGACAGACAGACACAUAAACAAAAGGACUCAAAUGUAAUACACUCUUCUGGUGAGGACAAAUGUACGUCGAGCGAGUCAGCUGAAAAUGUCCACUGUGCUACUUUCUCAAAAGCCGAAAGAAAAAUUCACACACAACACAACACACACCGAACACGAUGUCUAAUGUCAAUUACUUCAAUCGUAGUGAUGUUUGGUCUGUCGUUCACAAGAUCUACUCGUUAACUUCAUGAAAAGUUUAACCAGUCCAGGCCAAGCCAUCCUCCACAGGUCCAGGCCAAGCCAUCGUAAGCUUGCAGACACGUUUGAUAAAUGGAAAUUAGUAACCGACCGGAUUUCCCUUCACAUAACUGUAUGAUAAAGCAAACUUCUGGAUUAUACUCUGAAAUAUCAAACAAUGCCAGAUUUUAAAAAUCUCGACUGAUGGGGAAAAUUAUAAAGAAGAUAUUUUUUGAAUCUGGGCGGAGUAUUGGCAACAGAUUGCUGCCCUGAUCGAUCUCAAGAACGUAAUUGUGCACAACAACCACACAUACACUACACCAGGGUUCGAAUGAAUAUCCCACUGCUGAACUUGAACGCCGUUUGUGACGAUGCGAAGCGAAAACCUUCAUCAUGGGAUCCAGAAAUGACCAAUUUUUGGAUUUGGAUUUUGGUUUGAUUUCAAUGAUGACUGAUGUCACUUUGUUGUUACUUUGAACGUGCGAGACCUCAUCUUCUUUUCAAGUCAACACAGUUUUGAGUAUUCGAAUGGAUCGCAUCAGGCCAGCAAGUGAACUUCCUUUCUUUGUUCCGUUGAAGUAUUUAAAGAUUUUGUUUUUUUUUUCCAGGACACGUAGCUCGUGAAAGUCUUGCCUUUCUCAACCUGGUACUUUCUCCAACAUUAAACCAAAUGCUUGUAAAUGUAAUAAAUUUAACUUAUUUUUCACAUUUCUUAUUGACAGUGGAAACAUUUGGCGACAGAAAGGCUGCUGGAUUAAUCCGUCAGUGUUAAACAUGAGAUUUAAAAUAAGCCUGUCGGUCUAAUUUCAAACGUGACCAUUUGUAACCUUUGUCAAAAAUCA